rnacentral:rRNA from 1 species
GACGAACGCUGGCGGCGUGCCUAAUACAUGCAAGUUGAGCGCUGAAGGUUGGUACUUGUACCGACUGGAUGAGCAGCGAACGGGUGAGUAACGCGUGGGGAAUCUGCCUUUGAGCGGGGGACAACAUUUGGAAACGAAUGCUAAUACCGCAUAAAAACUUUAAACACAAGUUUUAAGUUUGAAAGAUGCAAUUACAUCACUCAAAGAUGAUCCCGCGUUGUAUUAGCUAGUUGGUGAGGUAAAGGCUCACCAAGGCGAUGAUACAUAGCCGACCUGAGAGGGUGAUCGGCCACAUUGGGACUGAGACACGGCCCAAACUCCUACGGGAGGCAGCAGUAGGGAAUCUUCGGCAAUGGACGAAAGUCUGACCGAGCAACGCCGCGUGAGUGAAGAAGGUUUUCGGAUCGUAAAACUCUGUUGGUAGAGAAGAACGUUGGUGAGAGUGGAAAGCUCAUCAAGUGACGGUAACUACCCAGAAAGGGACGGCUAACUACGUG